UUGUCUUCGUUAUAUCUUAGCAUCCCAUCACCCGUUGGAUUGCUCGUACCUUUUAUGACAGCCCAGUGAAGGACUAUGAGAAAAUGAUGGCACUUAUCCAUAUUGAGGCCGAGAAGGCUGAAAUGAGACAACUACAACUUGAAGUCCGCCGACACAUGAGAGAAAAAGGAGAUGGACCCUGGUUUCAGAUUCAGACACUUGAUAAGAAUCUCAUCGACCACAGCCCCAAGUCAUCCCCUGAUAACUAGGAGUGGUCAUUCAUACCUGUCCAAAAUAUUCAGGCAUUAUACAAUGUAUAAUGUAUUGUUAUUAAUAAAAAAUAUAUUGUUUAUUUUUUCCCCUUUUCUUUGCCUCUGGCACCAAUAAACUAAUGAUGAAGUCA